rnacentral:miRNA from 1 species
AUAUACAUACACACACCUACAC